CACAGGCGGCCACCGCGGGUGGGGCCGGGGCCUGGGAGCCAGCGGCCGGCAGGCCUGGGUCACAGUUGCCUGCGUCUCGCCUGGUGGUGCGGAUGCCCUGGGCACAGCGCUGGGCGGUGGGAGCUGUCGCUGUUUGCAUCCCAGGCGUCCUCUGGCAUCGCACUGAGGAGACGCUCGGUCCCUUCACGGACACACUCGCUGGGCAGCACCGUUCCAGCCUUCUAAGGACGUUCUCCUGCGAACUGGCAACCGCUGUGAUUCGCAUUCUCUAAUUUAAAAAUACGUCUGUACUGAUUUCAGAGAGGAAGGGAGGAGGAGAGAGAGACACAUCAGUGAUGAGAGAGAAUCCAGUGAUCAGGGAUCAGGCCGGCAACCCAGGUGUACGCCCUGAUCUGGAAUCAGACUGACCUCCUGGUUCACAGGUCAACGCUCAGCCACUGAGCCACCGCGGCUGGGCUGCAUUCUCGAAUUUUCAGUUCAUAGUUCUGAUGUGAGUGUGUUACAGCGCUUCUGUCACACCCACGCACUGGGGUUCAGACUGGGGCGCGUGUGGGUCUCUAACCUGUUCUUGUCUGGCCCCGACUUUCCCUUCCCAGGGCCUCACCUCAACCCCGCUGGCACACGCAGGCAAAGGCGUUGUCUGGGACGAAGCUGAUGUCGGCGUUUAUAUUUACAAACCAGGGCAGAGCAGGAGGACCACAGCAGCCGCGCCCACUGACCUCCUGUGCGUGGCGAAGCCGUCCAGGUCGGCGCUGCGCAUCACCCGCUCGCAGGGCACGUUGGCCGUGAUGAGGCUGUGGCUGGUGAAGGAGAGGUGGCGGACGGGGUGCCUGCAACACAGGGGAGAGCGCGCUGCACUGAGCCAGGAGACCCAGGAUGAAAGAUGUCCAGUGCAGAGACCUGGCAUCAGAGCUGCCCGCCUGGUCAAGGUAAGACAUACUGGGGUGGGGGGCAGGAGCAGGGUUAUAUGUUCCUAGAGCAUGAGAUGGUACAGGGCACACAGAUGGGACACAGAUGGGACCCAAGGUCUAGCACUCGGAGGGAGGAGACACGGCUGACAGGCCCGCUCAGAAGGCACAAGAGCGCGCGCAAGUGGGAGGGGGGGGGCUGUUUGUCAAAGGCUUCCUGGUUAGAGCAGAGGAUUCUCUCGAGAAUACAGGAGUCUGAGCCCAGUGGAGCGGGAGGAAUGGAGAGGACAGAUGGGUGUGAGCAGGACUCAAGGAGACAGGCAGAGGGGGGGCGAACAGGCACCUGACCAAGUGCCAGCUGGACAGAGCUCAGAGGAGCGGCAGGUGCCUGCCUGCAGUGACCUGAUGAGAGACAAGCCACUAGUCGGUGGCAGAACUGGAUGUACAUUUACAGACGAGUCAGGACAACAGUGCUGGGAAGACCUUACUUAGCCGGCUUCACCAGCACACUCACCCGAGGGCAUGCAGCUUUUGGGAG